UUCACAUAUUGCUGAAGCCUGGCUUGGAGAAUUUUGAGCAUUACUUUACUAGUGUUGAGCACGUCACACAUAUACAAUGGAAUAUUACUCAGCCAUUAAAAGGGAUGAAGCAAUGCCGUUUGCAGCGACAUGAAUGGACCUGGUGAUCAUCAUACUGAACAAAGGGCUGCAAUGCAGGAGACUGCCUGCAAUCCAGGUGACCUACAUUCGAUCC